UACGGAGGGUGCAAGCGUUGCUCGGAAUUAUUGGGCGUAAAGGGUAGGUAGGUGGUCUCAUUUGUCAGGGGUGAAAGCCUUGAGCUUAACUCAAGAAGUGCCCCUGAAACGGUGAGACUGGAGUCCCAGAGAGGCUUGUGGAAUUCCCGGUGUAGCGGUGAAAUGCGUAGAGAUCGGGAGGAACACCAGAGGCGAAGGCGGCAAGCUGGAUGGGCACUGACACUCAACUACGAAAGCGUGGGGAGCAAACAGG
rnacentral:rRNA from 1 species